rnacentral:rRNA from 1 species
AUGACCGAACGAUCUGGGUCGUUCUGGUGCUUGAUCCGGUUGAUGACGUCAAAACGCUGUGGUGGCUCAGUGCCCAGCCUGCGCCCUUCGCUGCUCGCGUGCGUGCUGGAUCCGGCCGCGGUCGAGUGUGUGCUAGUGGCGCACUGCGUGCUUGCGUCGGAGCCGGAGCUCACGCGCGCGUCCGCAUCUGAGUUCACGUGCCCGCGUCUGCGCGUCCGACGCCGAGGACAGAGCUCACACCCGUGUCUGCGUCUGGACGAGCGUGUGGCUGCCACCGCCGCGUGCACGCGCCCGUACUCGCGCAUAUCGUGUUCCUCGGGCUGGAGCUCGUUGGCACUGUCUCCGGUUCUAAAACUAGACAACCAAAAUGUCAAUGCUUUAUAUGAAAGGGCUCAAGCUUACACUCAUCUUGCUGACCUGGAGUUAGAAGAGGUUGACAUUAAGAAGGCACUAGAAAUCGAUCCUGAAAACAGGCAAGUUCCAUCGAAUGGUCUAUUAUAUAAACCUUAA